UACAGAGGGUGCGAGCGUUAUUCGGAAUUACUGGGCGUAAAGCGUGCGUAGACGGUAGCGUAAGUCGGGUGUGAAAGCCCCGGGCUCAACCUGGGAAUUGCAUUCGAGACUGCUCUGCUAGGGUGCGGAAGAGGGAAGCGGAAUUUCCGGUGUAGCGGUGAAAUGCGUAGAUAUCGGAAGGAACACCAGUGGCGAAAGCGGCUUCCUGGUCCAGCACCGACGUUCAGGCACGAAAGCGUGGGGAGCAAACAGG
rnacentral:rRNA from 1 species